rnacentral:RNase_P_RNA from 1 species
CCAGUUGGCCGGGCAGCCGCGCUUUACCAAUGCCGAAAGGCGGUAAGGUGAGGAAAGUCCGGGCUCCACGGAAACACGGUGCCGGAUAACGUCCGGCGAGGGCGACCUCAGGGAAAGUGCCACAGAAAGCAAACCGCCUCGCAUGCGAGGUCAGGGUGAAAGGGUGGGGUAAGAGCCCACCGCGUCGCUGGCAACAGGGACGGCACGGCAAACCCCACCGGGAGCAAAACCGAAUAGGGAUGACGCGGGUGGCGCGCAAGCGUUGCUACAGCCUGUUUCCGGGCCAGUCAUCCGGGUGGGUUGCGCGAGGCAGCGUGCAAACGCUGUCCCAGAUGAAUGGCUGCCACGCUCCGGGAAACCGGGGCCAUACAGAACCCGGCUUACAGGCCAACUGGCAAA